GCUCUGCGGUUGUGGGGUGGUGCUGACACCACUGGGGCAUAGGUUAAUACAGAGGCCCUGCACCCCCACAGGGAAUGCCCAGCCUUGGAAGGGCCAGUACAAGAGAAAGGCCCUGAAGCUUCAGCCUCACCAGCUCCAUCUCUGGAACCCAGGCUCGAGGACAAACGCCAGUUUGGUGCUACUUGAAGAGCUCUCUCCUUUGUUGAUGCUGUCAUUACUGACUCACUGUGAAAAGUUCGAUUGCAGACUAGGAGGAGUGGAGAGCUGGACUGGAAUGAGAUCGUCAAAGAUCUUCUGCUCAGAGGUCAGAAAACAGCCCAUACUCUUCCCUCCUUUAACCUCUGCACUUCAGCUGUCCCAACCAACCCCACCAGCCGCCUUUCUAGCCCGGAUCUAAUCCCCACCCCGUACUUAACAAUCUCAGUGUGACAAAG
rnacentral:lncRNA from 1 species